UGCCGAGGUUUUCCUCGGGAGUUAACUACAGCCAGUUUCUUCACAAUUCGGUAGUUAACUACCGAGGGACAU
rnacentral:pre_miRNA from 1 species